AGAACGAACGCUGGCGGCAUGCCUAAUACAUGCAAGUCGAACGGACUCUUCGGAGUUAGUGGCGCACGGGUGCGUAACGCGUGGGAAUCUGCCCCUUGGUUCGGAAUAACAGUUGGAAACGACUGCUAAUACCGGAUGAUGACGAAAGUCCAAAGAUUUAUCGCCAAGGGAUGAGCCCGCGUAGGAUUAGCUAGUUGGUGAGGUAAAGGCUCACCAAGGCAACGAUCCUUAGCUGGUCUGAGAGGAUGAUCAGCCACACUGGGACUGAGACACGGCCCAGACUCCUACGGGAGGCAGCAGUGGGGAAUAUUGGACAAUGGGCGAAAGCCUGAUCCAGCAAUGCCGCGUGAGUGAUGAAGGCCUUAGGUUGUAAAGCUCUUUUACCCGAGAUGAUAAUGACAGUAUCGGGAGAAUAAGCCCCGGCUAACCGUCCGUGCCAGCCAGCCGC
rnacentral:rRNA from 1 species